GCGAGGAUAGUUCCGUAAUAUCAGUCUCAUGGAUAAUGUAUAGCUUUGAAUGGACAGUAGUAAAAUAGCUUUCAAACUUAAAAAUGUUUUAUCUUCUAGUUUUUUCAUUGAUCAACAUUUGUAACUGAGAAGAAAUGUCUAUUGUAAUUCUACAUCCAUCAAAUAAAACCCUAGUUUUCUCUCAAUAUCUUCUUCCUACUGCAGGAUUUAUUUCAUCAAGAACGCACAAUUGGGUGGUAAAAUUAUCAAAGAAAUCUUCACUUCCAGGUUUCUACAACAGGAUUUGCUCCUCCAAAUCCCCGAAUACAUCCACUGACAGUAGCUCCCAAGAGGAUUCAAAGAGGUUCCCUUGGAAAGUUCAUCUUGAAGAAUGGAAUGUUCCAUGGGAUUGGAAGAUUGUUUUGUAUGUCAUGGCACCAUAUUUGAUGAGGUAU